AAACAACUGGAAACUCGGAACUGGGAAAUCUGAUUUUAUUGUUUUGAAAGCGCCAUAAAUCCAGAGAAUGCCAGACUGAUGACAAAAUUUGCCCAGGAAGGACUGCCGUGCCACCGUCCUGUUCAAGUGAGCACAGCACAACAAGACAUCACAUCCUUACCUAAACAGCACCCUCACCUGAGAAGUGGAAAUCAAAGGGAGAGAAACUGGGAAUUGAAUAACUGCAGUUGACAUACCCAAGUAAAUGGAAGAAUACUCUUAUUGCAAUGUGGAUGGCUCUUAAAAGAGCCUUUGGUUGUGCAUAGUGUAGUCUAUGGUGUUGCCAGGGAACAGCACCCUCUUCGAAUAAGUAGGAGGUGAAGAUCUCCCGCACACAGAUUGCCUCUCUUGCUGCGUUGUUGGACCCCAUCCUUGAAACAUCCUGCAGAGCAGCAGACUUCUCCUCUGGCACAUGGCGUAAGCUGCAGAUCUCCUCCUAGUCCUUGUGUCCAUCCUCAUGAAGUUAUGCAGGACAGGGCCACCAGGAGGCAGUCCCAGAUGGCCCUGGUCACCCAACCUUGCAGUGCCCUACACGAUAACUGUAGGCAAUCGUUUUGAAAGAAUCUCCAGUUGCAAGGUAUCUGUAGAAAUAUAGAAGAUAAUGUCAUCAUUAGACUUACAUCACCAGGGACUGAAUCUCCUGUCGUCACAGUGGGCCUCGGAGCACAGUAGUAGAUAGCAGUCAGACAGCUGCAGCCUCUGGAUCGUCAAGGGGAUGGAGCUGAAUGUGCCUGGAAUCAAACCUCUUGAACUCAUCGCUAUUGCUCUUCUGAAUAACAAUCCCUUCUAACGCUCCGAGACAGCCGCUUUCCCCUGGCUAUAAGACGUUGAAUAGCUCACUGUGCUCCCAAAGACUCUCCACACUGCCUACCUGCUCUGAAUCAUCCACAGCUCUCUACCCACUCAGACACACACACCAACAGACACUUAUCACGCGCAUACACACAUACAGUACUUACAUGCCUUCGCACACACACUACUGAUGCCACAUACAUACACACAUCUACUCACAACAUAAGCUGCUGCUAUACUGAUGAUUACUAUUACCAUUACGCUGCUGCUCUAUUGAUUAUCCUGUUCAACCCUGACACCCUAUGGUGGCAUUUUCUAAACUACGCAUAAUAUUGUAUGCUACCCUCAAAGUACAUUUUGGUUUCAAAACUAAGACCUACAAACACAUGCUUAGUACUGUUAAAAAUGUAAAACUGCGGGAUUCUGAUAAAGGUGUCUGAAACAAUGUGACUAUUACAGAGCCCAAGAUACAGCAAACCCCCCAAAACUGAAGUGUACACAUUACAUUUUUUAUUUCACCUUUAUUUAACCAGGUAGGCCAGUUGAGAACAAGUUCUCAUUUACAACUGCAACCUGGCCAAGAUAAAGCAAAGCAGUGUGACACAGACAACAACAGAGUUACACAAACAAAUGUACUGUCAAUAACACAAUAGAAAAGAAAAAUAGAAAAAUCUAUAUACAGUGUGUGCAAAUGUAGGGAAGUAGGCAAUGAAUAGGCCAUAGAGGAGAAAAUAAUUACAAUUUAGCAUUAAUACUGGAGUGAUAGAUGUGCAGAUGAUGAUGUGCAAGUAGAGAAACUGGGGUGCAAAAGAACAAGAGGGUAAGUAAUAAUAUGGGGAUGAGGUAGUUGGGUGUGCUUUUUACACAUUGGCUGUUUACAGGUACAGCUGAUGCUUAAAGUUAGAGGGAGAUAUAGGUCUACAGCUUCAGAGAUUUUUGCAAUUCGUUCCUGUCAUUGGCAGCAGAGAACUGGAAGGAAAGGCGGCUAAAGGAAGUGUUAGCUUUGGGGAUGACCAGUGAGAGAUGCCUGCUGGAGCGCGUGCUACAGGUGGAUGUUGCUAUGGUGACCAGUGAGCUGAGAUAAGGCGGGGAUUUACCUAGCAAAGACUUAUA
rnacentral:lncRNA from 1 species